GGAGAUUUAGCUCAGCGGCAGAGCACUUGCCUAGCAAGCGCAAGGCCCUGGGUUCGGUCCCCAGCUCCA
rnacentral:tRNA from 1 species